rfam:Triticum aestivum genome assembly, contig: Triticum_aestivum_CS42_TGACv1_scaffold_226496_3B
GUAAUACUCCCUCCGUCUGAAAAAGCUUGUCCCAACCUUGUUCCUCAAAUGGAUGUAUCGAGCACUAACUUGGUGCUAGAUACAUCCAUUUGAGGGACAAGCUUUUCGGGACGGAGGGAAUACGAU